CAGCUCUGCAGCAUAAAAAUACUUCUUUCUGCAGACACACUUUUUAAUUCAGUGUGCUGUCAGCAACACAAGAAAGGGCAUGCUGAUGAUUUAUCUCCACACUUUCACAGCAGGCUCGGGCUGUGGCGCAGGCUGGAGAGCAGCUGCAAUGAAUCACUGCAAUGAAUCACUCUGACUAGGAGGUCAUGAGUUCGAGGCCCGCUCGGAACCUAUGUUUGUCUUGUCUUUGUUCUAUGUUUAAAAGGCAUUGAAUGUUUGCCUAUAUGUGUAUUGUGAUCCGCCCUGAGUCCCCUUCGGGGUGAGAAGGGCGGAAUAUAAAUUCUGUAAAUAAAUAAAUAAAUAAACAUUA